GGGGGCUGGAAUUGCCGGCACACCACCCUGCCAAGGCGGAGACCUCGCAAGGGAUCCAGGGGUUCAAAUCCCCUCGUCUCCGCCA
rnacentral:tRNA from 1 species